rnacentral:rRNA from 1 species
UUCACGGAGAGUUUGAUCCUGGCUCAGGACGAACGCUGGCGGUGUGCUUAACACAUGCAAGUGGUGCGACGAACCAGAGCUUGCUCUGGGGCAAAGCCGCGAACGGGUGAGUAACACGUGGGUAAUCUACCCCGAUGACCGGGACAACCCGAGGAAACUCGGGCUAAUACCGGAUGUGGUGCACAGGCUUAAGCCUGUUCACUAAAGGUAGCUUCGGCUUCCGCAUUGGGAGGGGCCCGCGGCCCAUUAGCUUGUUGGUGGGGUCAAGGCCUACCAAGGCAACGAUGGGUAGCUGGUCUGAGAGGACGAUCAGCCACACUGGGACUGAGACACGGCCCAGACUCCUACGGGAGGCAGCAGUGGGGAAUCUUGCGCAAUGCGCGAAAGCGUGACGCAGCAACACCGCGUGAGGGAAGACGGCCUUAGGG